rnacentral:rRNA from 1 species
AACAGGAUUAGAUACCCUGGUAGUCCACGCCGUAAACGAUGUCGACUUGGAGGUUGUGCCCUUGAGGCGUGGCUUCCGGAGCUAACGCGUUAAGUCGACCGCCUGGGGAGUACGGCCGCAAGGUUAAAACUCAAAUGAAUUGAUGGGGGCCCGCACAAGCGGUGGAGCAUGUGGUUUAAUUCGAUGCAACGCGAAGAACCUUACCUGGUCUUGACAUCCACGGAAGUUUUCAGAGAUGAGAAUGUGCCUUCGGGAACCGUGAGACAGGUGCUGCAUGGCUGUCGUCAGCUCGUGUUGUGAAAUGUUGGGUUAAGUCCCGCAACGAGCGCAACCCUUAUCCUUUGUUGCCAGCGGUCCGGCCGGGAACUCAAAGGAGACUGCCAGUGAUAAACUGGAGGAAGGUGGGGAUGACGUCAAGUCAUCAUGGCCCUUACGACCAGGGCUACACACGUGCUACAAUGGCGCAUACAAAGAGAAGCGACCUCGCGAGAGCAAGCGGACCUCAUAAAGUGCGUCGUAGUCCGGAUUGGAGUCUGCAACUCGACUCCAUGAAGUCGGAAUCGCUAGUAGUCGUGGAUCAGAAUGCCACGGUGAAUACGUUCCCGGGCCUUGUACACACCGCCCGUCACACCAUGGGAGUGGGUUGCAAAAGAAGUAGGUAGCUUAACCUUCGGGAGGGCGCUUACCACUUUGUGAUUCAUGACUGGGGUGAAGUCGUAACAAGGUAACC